rnacentral:pre_miRNA from 1 species
GAUUUCAACUGAAAAAAUCAUCAACAUCAAAGUUGUAUAACUUAUCAAGAUCUAUAACUUUUAUUUGGGUCAUUUCUAUAUCCAAUAAAGCGGUUUGUAACAUUGUUCACAAAAUGCACAUAUCUCUCACAUAGUUUAUAAACUAUAACAGAGAUAUGUUAAUUUUAUGAACAAUAAUACUAUUACUUUGUCGGAUGAAGAAAUGAUCAAAAUAAAAGUUAUAGAUAUUGAUGAGUUAUACAAUUUUUUAUUGGUGACUUUUUCAGUUGAAAUC